rnacentral:rRNA from 1 species
GACGAACGCUGGCGGCGUGCCUAAUACAUGCAAGUCGAACGCUGAAGGAGGAGCUUGCUCUUCUGGAUGAGUUGCGAACGGGUGAGUAACGCGUAGGUAACCUGCCUGGUAGCGGGGGAUAACUAUUGGAAACGAUAGCUAAUACCGCAUAAGAGUAGAUGUUGCAUGACAUUUACUUAAAAGGUGCAAUUGCAUCACUACCAGAUGGACCUGCGUUGUAUUAGCUAGUUGGUGGGGUAACGGCUUACCAAGGCGACGAUACAUAGCCGACCUGAGAGGGUGAUCGGCCACACUGGGACUGAGACACGGCCCAGACUCCUACGGGAGGCAGCAGUAGGGAAUCUUCGGCAAUGGACGGAAGUCUGACCGAGCAACGCCGCGUGAGUGAAGAAGGUUUUCGGAUCGUAAAGCUCUGUUGUAAGAGAAGAACGAGUGUGAGAGUGGAAAGUUCACACUGUGACGGUAGCUUACCAGAAAGGGACGGCUAACUACGUG